GAUGAACGCUGGCGGCGUGCCUAAUACAUGCAAGUCGAGCGAACAGACGAGGAGCUUGCUCCUCUGACGUUAGCGGCGGACGGGUGAGUAACACGUGGAUAACCUACCUAUAAGACUGGGAUAACUUCGGGAAACCGGAGCUAAUACCGGAUAAUAUAUUGAACCGCAUGGUUCAAUAGUGAAAUACGGUUUUUCUGUCACUUAUAGAUGGAUCCGCGCCGCAUUAGCUAGUUGGUAAGGUAACGGCUUACCAAGGCAACGAUGCGUAGCCGACCUGAGAGGGUGAUCGGCCACACUGGAACUGAGACACGGUCAAGACUCCUACGGGAGGCAGCAGUAGGGAAUCUGCCGCAAUGGGCGAAAGCCUGACGGAGCAACGCCGCGUGAGUGAUGAAGGUCUUCGGAUCGUAAAACUCUGUUAUUAGGGAAGAACAAAUGUGUAAGUAACUAUGCACGUCUUGACGGUACCUAAUCAGAAAGCCACGGCUAACUACGUG
rnacentral:rRNA from 1 species